rnacentral:sRNA from 1 species
AUUCAUGAACGGUCACGCUUGGUUUCAGCCACCGAGCGGAUAGGUCCU